rnacentral:rRNA from 1 species
AUGAAUAAGGACCGGCUAAUUCCGUGCCAGCAGCCGCGGUAAUACGGAAGGUCCGGGCGUUAUCCGGAUUUAUUGGGUUUAAAGGGAGCGUAGGCCGUCUGUUAAGCGUGUUGUGAAAUGUCGGGGCUCAACCUGGGCAUUGCAGCGCGAACUGGCAGACUUGAGUGCGCAGGAAGUAGGCGGAAUUCGUCGUGUAGCGGUGAAAUGCUUAGAUAUGACGAAGAACUCCGAUUGCGAAGGCAGCCUGCUGUAGCGUAACUGACGCUGAAGCUCGAAAGCGUGGGUAUCGAACAGGAUUAGAUACCCUGGUAGUCCACGCGGUAAACGAUGGAUGCUCGCUGUUUGCGUCUGACGUAAGCGGCCAAGCGAAAGCGUUAAGCAUCCCACCUGGGGAGUACGCCGGCAACGGUGAAACUCAAAGGAAUUGACGGGGGCCCGCACAAGCGGAGGAACAUGUGGUUUAAUUCGAUGAUACGCGAGGAACCUUACCCGGGCUUGAAUUGCAGAGGAAGGAUUUGGAGACAAUGACGCCCUUCGGGGCCUCUGUGAAGGUGCUGCAUGGUUGUCGUCAGCUCGUGCCGUGAGGUGUCGGCUUAAGUGCCAUAACGAGCGCAACCCCUGUUCUCAGUUGCCAUCGGGUGAUGCCGGGCACUCUGUGAAGACUGCCUCCGCAAGGAGUGAGGAAGGUGGGGAUGACGUCAAAUCAGCACGGCCCUUACGUCCGGGGCUACACACGUGUUACAAUGGCAUGUACAGAAAGCUGGCCGUAUGCAAAUACGGUCGAAUCCCUAAAACAUGUCUCAGUUCGGACUGGGGUCUGCAACCCGACCCCACGAAGCUGGAUUCGCUAGUAAUCGCGCAUCAGCCAUGGCGCGGUGAAUACGUUCCCGGGCCUUGUACACACCGCCCGUCAAGCCAUGAAAGCCGGGGGCGCCU